UCCUACGGGGCGCAGCAGUGGGGAAUAUUGGACAAUGGGCGAAAGCCUGAUCCAGCCAUGCCGCGUGAGUGAUGAAGGCCUUAGGGUUGUAAAGCUCUUUUAUCCGGGAAGAUAAUGACUGUACCGGAAGAAUAAGCCCCGGCUAACUUCGUGCCAGCAGCCGCGGUAAUACGAAGGGGGCUAGCGUUGCUCGGAAUCACUGGGCGUAAAGGGCGCGUAGGCGGAUGAUUAAGUCGGAGGUGAAAGCCCAGGGCUCAACCCUGGAAUUGCCUUCGAUACUGAUCGUCUCGAGAAUGGAAGAGGUAAGUGGAAUACCGAGUGUAGAGGUGAAAUUCGUAGAUAUUCGGUGGAACACCAGUGGCGAAGGCGACUUACUGGUCCAUUUCUGACGCUGAGGCGCGAAAGCGUGGGGAUCAAACAGGAUUAGAAACCCUAGUAGUCCU
rnacentral:rRNA from 1 species